rnacentral:tRNA from 1 species
CUUGUGAAUCUAUAUCCUUCUUACCCAACCCAAUUUCCAGAUUAAUUCUCGUUUUUUUAUUUCUUAGAUAUAAAUAUACCUAUC